GAGUCCACCGGUAAAUGGGUGUUGCAUGGUGUGGAGUAUGCUGCUUAGUCCGCUUUCAGAAGCUCAAGGGUGACCUGGGAGUGCUUUGACUACUCCUAGCAGUAAAACGAAUGCAUUUGCACUUCCAGCUGCAUUUCUUCGGCUUCUUGUACAGUCUUGAGUCUGGGUCAACACAUGAGACGUCCCCAGGUGCCUCUGCAUUUGCUGACCAAUGGUCACUUCUGUUGCUGCCAUCUAAGAGCUCAGAGGGAGAUCCACUCUUGAGUCCAGGGCCAGAAGCAGGUGUGAGCUAUGGCACCCGGCCUGACUGGUGUCUUUAUAAGAAGAGGAGAUGAAGACAGAGACACACACAGAGGAGGCGUGGGGAGAGACCAACCCUGCCGUCACCUUGAUCCUGGACUUCCAGCCUCCAGAACUAAUUCAGGUGAAGAUGAGCUGAACCUGCUCCCUGGCCUUCCCCUAGUUUCUGUGGCUUGUGACAGAAGGUGGAAAGGACCAACAUGGAAGAGAUGCAUGAACAAACUGCAUGUUUUCAGCAAACGUUUCCAAGGGUUAUCUUAGCUGGAUGCGACUGUACUUUGGAAGAGUAUUUUAGGACUCCAUGUCUUUAUGACCCUAGCUUCUGCUUUAAAGUUGAAGAACUGAGUCCUGUUAUCAGCUUCAUCUCUGUUUGGCUCCCAAAGUAAGGGAAUUGUUUUGCAAAAGUAAGAUGAGUUUUAUCAGCAAGCUUUGUAGAAACUUUACCCAAAAAGGAAAACCAGAUUCCCACUCAGGCUGUUUUGUAAGAGACGGCACAAACUCUGGGAGUUUGACCUCAAAGAUGUAUCACUGAGCAAAACAAAAUAGGCCUGUUAUUUCUGGAACCCAUGGUUCUCAUGUAGUUCUGUAUCAGGUGGAAAAUGGUUCAGUCAUUGUUACUUCUUUUUAACGAAUUUCUUUUUCUGAUUAUAAAAAUCAAUAUAUGCUCUUCGUGAAACACUGAAAAAUACAGACGUAAAACAUAAGUAAACAAUAAACAUUCUGCAUUCCACCACAUGGAAAAAAA
rnacentral:lncRNA from 10 species